rnacentral:lncRNA from 1 species
NNNNNNNNNNNNNNNNUGGGCACGGAGGGCUGUGGAGAGGCUGCUGGCUGCUGCAAAGAGCCCCUCUGGGACUCAGCCCUGCAAAGGGGACAGAGGCUGGGAGCUCCCACAUGGUCCUGUGCUUGUCCUGCCCCAGCUCUGGAAGUGCUCCCUUCUGAAGCCCCAGCCCCACUCACCUUGGAUGAGGAGAAGAAGCAGAACCCAGAGAAGCCACAUGUCCGGCCUGCCUGGGUUGUCUCCCUGGUGCUCAGCUGAUGCCUGCUGCUCUCCAGUGUCUGGAACUGAACUCAGGGGCAACCUGCCUUCUAUUUUUCUAAAAAAAUUUUUUUAAAA